GACGAAGGGGGCUAGCGUUGUUCGGAAUUACUGGGCGUAAAGCGCGUGUAGGCGGUUGUCCAAGUCGGGUGGGAAAGCCUUGAGCUCAACUCAAGAAAUGCACUCGAUACUGGGUGACUUGAGGACCGGAGAGGAUAGUGGAAUUCCCAGUGUAGUGGUGAAAUACGUAGAGAUUGGGAAGAACACCAGUGGCGAAGGCGGCUAUCUGGACGGUUUCUGACGCUAAGACGCGAAAGCGUGGGGAGCAAACAGG
rnacentral:rRNA from 1 species